rnacentral:rRNA from 1 species
UACGUAGGUGGCGAGCGUUGUCCGGAUUUACUGGGCGUAAAGAGCGCGCAGGCGGUCGAUCAAGUCGCGUGUGAAAGCCCCCGGCUCAACUGGGGAGGGUCACGCGAUACUGAUCGACUCGAAGGCAGGAGAGGGUAGUGGAAUUCCCGGUGUAGUGGUGAAAUGCGUAGAGAUCGGGAGGAACACCAGUGGCGAAGGCGGCCUUCUGGACCAAUACUGACGCUCAUGCACGAAAGCGUGGGGAGCAAACAGG